rnacentral:rRNA from 1 species
GACGAACGCUGGCGGCGUGCUUAACACAUGCAAGUCGAACGGAAAGACCCUGCUUUUGUGGGGUGCUCGAGUGGCGAACGGGUGAGUAAAACGUGAGUAACCUGCCCUUGACUUUGGGAUAACUUCAGGAAACUGGGGCUAAUACCGGAUAGGAGCUCCUGCUGCAUGGUGGGGGUUGGAAAGUUUCGGCGGUUGGGGAUGGACUCGCGGCUUAUCAGCUUGUUGGUGGGGUAGUGGCUUACCAAGGCUUUGACGGGUAGCCGGCCUGAGAGGGUGACCGGCCACAUUGGGACUGAGAUACGGCCCAGACUCCUACGGGAGGCAGCAGUGGGGAAUAUUGCACAAUGGGCGGAAGCCUGAUGCAGCAGCGCCGCGUGCGGGAUGACGGCCUUCGGGUUGUAAACCGCUUUCGCCUGUGACGAAGCGUGAGUGACGGUAAUGGGUAAAGAAGCACCGGCUAACUACGUG